GACGAACGCUGGCGGCGUGCUUAACACAUGCAAGUCGAACGGAAAGGCCCUGCUUUUGUGGGGUGCUCGAGUGGCGAACGGGUGAGUAACCCGUGAGUAACCUGCCCUUGCCUUUGGGAUAACUUCAGGAAACUGGGGCUAAUACCGGAUAGGGGCUCCUGCUGCAUGGUGGGGGUUGGAAGGUUUCGGCGGUUGGGGAUGGACUCGCGGCUUAUCAGCUUGUUGGUGGGGUAGUGGCUUACCAAGGCUUUGACGGGUAGCCGGCCUGAGAGGGUGACCGGCCACAUUGGGACUGAGAUACGGCCCAGACUCCUACGGGAGGCAGCAGUGGGGAAUAUUGCACAAUGGGCGGAAGCCUGAUGCAGCAACGCCGCGUGCGGGAUGACGGCCUUCGGGUUGUAAACCGCUUUCGCCUGUGACGAAGCGUGAGUGACGGUAAUGGGUAAAGAAGCACCGGCUAACUGCGUG
rnacentral:rRNA from 1 species